UACGUAGGGGGCAAGCGUUAUCCGGAAUUAUUGGGCGUAAAGAGUACGUAGGUGGCAACCUAAGCGCAGGGUUUAAGGCAAUGGCUCAACCAUUGUUCGCCCUGCGAACUGGGAUGCUUGAGUGCAGGAGAGGAAAGCGGAAUUCCUAGUGUAGCGGUGAAAUGCGUAGGUAUUAGGAGGAACACCAGUGGCGAAGGCGGCUUUCUGGACUGUAACUGACACUGAGGUACGAAAGCGUGGGGAGCAAACAGG
rnacentral:rRNA from 1 species